UUACGACACAGACAACGGCUUCGAAGUGCGCCUCUUUCUCCACAACUCAUCUUUGUCCCUACUCAUUUUCCAAUUCAUUCAUUCUUCCGCUAUUGCAGGUUUUCCAAUUCCAGCUCUAUUCCCUCUCUUCCAUUCCACCUCAUCAACAAAAGGUUUCAAUUCCUCUCCUAAAUUUUCAUAUAUUUAUUUCCUAGACUCUGAUUCUCUUCUUAAAUUUUGCAUAGAUUUUCGGAGCCGAACAAGAUACUCCAGUGGUCAAUGACUCUGAUCUCGUAGCCAUUUCUGACAAACUACGACUAGUCUCGGUCAACGACUCCGAACCGGAACCAAGCGCUGCCGAUUUGUUGAAAUCCAAUGAGGAAUUGGCCAGACUCUUGCAGGUAGAGGAGGAAGCGCUAAUGUUGCAGCAGUAUGUGGCAAGCCAAAAUCCUCGAGAAUUUGAUAGUAGAGUAUGGCCCUACGUUAGUCAAGUCCUAAUGUUGCAGCAGUAUGGGCUAUAUUUUUUUGCGGAAUAUGAUAUUAAAUGCAUAAUUGACUUUCAUGUUGUUCUUGGUUCCCAAAAUGGGAUGGAGCAUAGUGCAAGCAGAGAUGGAUUUACAGGCUAGCCAACUUCUCCUAAUUACAUUUCCGACUCAUUAUAUGUUAUUGAAUUUUUAGUUUCUAGGUAUGUUUUAAAUGCGCAAACAUAUUCUAAGAUUUUUCGUAUCAUCUAAUAUCUAAUAACCAAUUCUUCUAAAUGUGCACACAUCUUAAGCUAUGGUUUUUCCUUCUACAAUGCAACCUAUUCAAACUAUUGAAAUAUAAUUCUUUUGAUAUAAAGGUUGAUGAAUUGGACAAAGCAAUUUUUAUAGCCUCUAAAGAUCCUUCUUUGUAUGGCAUUGAUGAAGUGGAGGUAAAAAACCAGAGGAAGUGGACCAGUGAUACUCGCACCCAGGUAUCUAUAACAUGUAGAACUUGAGUAAGAGUUAGGAGAAUCACUGGUCCACUUCCUCAUAAAAAGGUAAAAUGAAAUUGUCUGUACUCUGUAGGCCUUAAUUAAAUUUCAGGUUGAGUGUUAGAUCAUUUGAAAUUUAAAUGUAUUUUUGCCUUCAACUAGAUAAAGUCCCUGACAAGUGUCUAAGUGAUAAUAUUAAACUCAAGAGAGAGAGAGAGAUUGGCUGGUGAUAUGAUCCCACUAAAUGAUAAUGUCAAAGCUCAGGGGAGAUAAAGUAAAUAGAAUAACUUGGCUUGAACAUAAUUAUAUUAAUAACCUAUGUGUGUCUGUGUAAUUUAGAUCUCAGUACUAGUUUUAGAUUGCUCUAUAAUCUAUUUUGUGUAAUCUUAUGAUAUGAUGUUGAAGAUUCAAACUGACUUGUUUCUCUAGGUAACUAGAAGGUACUGGAUGCUAAAAUGGUAUAUAUUGGGAUACAGUUUUGUCAUCCAAAAUUGGAAAAUCCUAAUGAAGGCUUUAGAAUAGCAAAAUUGAGUUCUGCCAUGAAUUUGUAGAAGGGAUUGUUAUGUUAUGAGAUUAUCUGCUAUUUGGGUUAUAUUGAUUUUUAGAAUUUCUAUUGGAGUAGGACAAGUAACAUGUGGAUCUGUAAUGGGCUAUGCAUUAAAGUUGAAAGUUUUUUGUUUUGGGCUUACUAAACAGAAAGUGCUAAGCAAAGGGACUUGCAGACAAGUGGAUGAGGACUAUAAGUUGAAUCACGGUUAUAUGAUAACAUUAAUUUUUGGGAAUCAUUGCAGAAUCGCAAGAUGGCUUUCAUUCACAUGGGGGCUGCGAAAUCUAUUUAAUGAAGGAAUUCACAAUACUCUCAAGAAGCUUGAGCUCAAUUUUUGGUGGCAUCUUUGUGUUGCCUGAGGAAAUUGCUAUAUAUGCUUCCACUCUAGGGAUAACACAAAUUCAAGCACACCAAAGAUCAUCUUUGUUCCAGGAGAUGUGGAUUUGAAGACAUUAUUGGCUCUUUUGGCUUUCAUGGUGUGCUACUCUUGGUUUUGCUAAUCCUUUUCCAAAGAUUCCUCCUUUUUAUAUUAUCUAUUCUCACUGAGUCACCUACUGCUAUGUAAAUGUGUAUUAUUUACUGCUAAUUUAUUCCAUUCUCCUUUACCCGUUACUUUUCUACUUUUCUCCCUUUCUUUAGUUUGGGGCUUUUCCUUUAAAAUAGUGGAGUAAAAGAAAACAUCUUUCCAGGUGUUGGAAAACUUGGUGGAAAAUUCAUUGCCUUAUCUCAGGUAUAGCUAUAAAAAGUACAGGGUUCGGUAAGCCUUUUCAUCCCCUUGGACAUGGACUAUGCUGGGUUUAUUUUGUUAACCAUGUUACCUGUUACCAAUAUACAAUAGCUAAUUUAUCUUUUAUUUCUCAAGACACAAGAAGAAUGAGAAAGGAGAAGCAAGAGGAAAGUUCCAAUUUACUUCUAGAGUAGAGAAAGAAUACCUGAAGCCCCUCUUACUCUGCUAGCAUUGGUGAGGAGCUUGAAGAUGGGCUAUUUGAUGCGUCCCAAGCCUAUCCUGUUUUGCAGAUUUCUUAGAAUUGGCAUUGCAGUUUGGAAUGAUUUUGAUGUUUGCUUGCGCAUUCCCACCUACAUUUGCUUUUGCGGCUGUGAACAACCUUAUGGAGAUCAGGACAGAUGCAUUGAAGCUGCUAGUAAUUUUGAGGCGGCAUGUUCCUCGUGCCGCUGCAACAGUAGGAGUCUGGCUUAACAUAUUUCAGUUUCACCAACUGUGCUAUUUUAGCAUGGCUAUAUGAUGAGGAGGGAAAAUGGAAAAUAGAGCCUGGACUUGCAGCAAUUUUAAUCAUGGAGCAUGUCCUCUUGUUGACUAAGUUUGGUUUCUCUCACUUCUUUCCUGAGGUGAUUGUUUUGCUUCCCAAAAUGUUUGGGCCACAAGAGCAGAAUCUGCAUUCUCAAGGUGGAAGCGGCAAUAUGAUUUUCAAGAGUGGACCACUUUUCAUAUCUUCCAAAGAAUAAAUCACUCUCUUUUGCAUCUUUGCAAACCUCUCCUCCAUUAUGAAAACCUAUAGAAAUCAUAUAGAAUUUAUAAAAUACACUAACUCCACAAUGCAAUUCCUCUUUACAGGUUGUUGUAACUUUUCAAAGGCCAUGUUGCAGCAGAUCUCUAACUUUGUGCAGCAUAAUAAUAAGUUCAUGUAUAUUUAAUUAAAAAUUAUAAUCAACAAAGAGUGUAAUUAGGAACUAGUUUUAUUAUUAUUAUAUAACAUUUACCUACAGAAGACCGUAGGUACAAGUAAACUGACUUUUACCUACAGUUAGAGAUUAUAGGUAUAAAUUAAUAUUUUUUACCUACACUUUUGAAAUAGUAGGUGUUACCUAUAGUGAUAGUUAAAUUUGACUGUAGGUAAAAAUAUAUCCGUAGGUAAAGCCUAUAGUGACAGACUAUUAGUUGUCACUGUAUACCCCCUCAAAGUUGACGCAAAAAACGUCUGUAGGACAAAGUCCUUUAUACAUCUACCUACGGAUUUUGGACUUCUAGUGAUA